rnacentral:rRNA from 1 species
UACGUAGGGGGCAAGCGUUAUCCGGAUUUACUGGGUGUAAAGGGAGCGUAGACGGCGAUGCAAGCCAGAUGUGAAAGCCCGCGGCUCAACUGCGGUAGUGCAUUUGGAACUGUAUGGCUGGAGUGCAGGAGAGGCAGGCGGAAUUCCUAGUGUAGCGGUGAAAUGCGUAGAUAUUAGGAGGAACACCAGUGGCGAAGGCGGCCUGCUGGACUGUAACUGACGUUGAGGCUCGAAAGCGUGGGGAGCAAACAGG